CCGAACACCCGUGGUCAUUUGCCGCCUAUUGCAGCCACGUUAAAGAACUGCUAAAACGCGAUCAGCCCGGC
rnacentral:ncRNA from 2 species